ACUGCGAAACAUGAAUCUAUAGGAGCAUAGACAAGUU
rnacentral:misc_RNA from 1 species